AGCAGUUAUAUUUUAUUAGUGCUAAUAGAAGUCGAGAAAUUAUUCCGACUGCAACGCAGAUUAAAUAUACGUAUUUAAUUUAUACACGAAUAAUGAGCAGAAGCCAGUAUUUGAUUGCAAAAACGCGAUUAAAUAUACAGAAUCAAUCAAGAAGACAACCAAAUCAAUUAGCAAAAGCAAAAGUUUUUUUUCCAAUCAAUUAAAGUUUACACGCCUUUGCUCCACCAAACUUCCCACCUACUCCAUCAGCUCCCCACCACCCUUUGCUCCCCACCAUAUUCGAUUCUUUAAGGCUAUUAUCAGCCCUUUUACUCAUUCCUUAGUUCUUCAACAACCAAAGGAAUGAGAGAUUUCAUUUACUGCUGCCAAACUUCGAACAUGUAAGCUUUGGUUUAAGUUUUUCC
rnacentral:lncRNA from 1 species